rnacentral:rRNA from 1 species
AAAUAUUUGGNUCAAUUGGGGCGCAAGCCCUGAUUCCAGCCCAUGCCGGCGUGUGUGAAGAGGGCCUUUUGGGUUGUAAAGCACUUUAAGCGAGGAGGAGGCUACUUGGGAUUAAUACUCUAGGAUAGUGGACGUUACUCGCAGAAUAAGCACCGGCUAACUCUGUGCCAGCAGCCGCGGUAAUACAGAGGGUGCGAGCGUUAAUCGGAUUUACUGGGCGUAAAGCGUGCGUAGGCGGCUUUUUAAGUCGGAUGUGAAAUCCCUGAGCUUAACUUAGGAAUUGCAUUCGAUACUGGGAAGCUAGAGUAUGGGAGAGGAUGGUAGAAUUCCAGGUGUAGCGGUGAAAUGCGUAGAGAUCUGGAGGAAUACCGAUGGCGAAGGCAGCCAUCUGGCCUAAUACUGACGCUGAGGUACGAAAGCAUGGGGAGCAAACAGGAUUAGAUACCCUGGUAGUCCAUGCCGUAAACGAUGUCUACUAGCCGUUGGGGCCUUUGAGGCUUUAGUGGCGCAACUAACGCGAUAAGUAGACCGCCUGGGGAGUACGGUCGCAAGACUAAAACUCAAAGGAAUUGACGGGAAUC